ACGCUAGCGGGAGGCCUAACACAUGCAAGCCGAGCGGUAGAGAUUCUUCGGAAUCUUGAGAGCGGCGUACGGGUGCGGAACACGUGUGCAACCUGCCUUUAUCAGGGAGAUAGCCUUUCGAAAGGAAGAUUAAUAUCCCAUAAUAUUUUGAGUGGCAUCACUUAAAAUUGAAAGCUCCGGCGGAUAGAGAUGGGCACGCGCAAGAUUAGAUAGUUGGCGGGGUAACGGCCCACCAAGUCAAUGAUCUUUAGGGGGCCUGAGAGGGUGAUCCCCCACACUGGUACUGAGACACGGACCAGACUCCUACGGGAGGCAGCAGUGAGGAAUAUUGGACAAUGGGUGAGAGCCUGAUCCAGCCAUCCCGCGUGAAGGACGACGGCCCUAUGGGUUGUAAACUUCUUUUGUAUAGGGAUAAACCUACCCUCGUGAGGGUAGCUGAAGGUACUAUACGAAUAAGCACCGGCUAACUCCGUGCCAGCAGCCGCGGUAAUACGGAGGGUGCAAGUGUUAUCCGGAUUUAUUGGGUUUAAAGGGUCCGUAGGCGGACUCGUAAGUCAGUGGUGAAAUCUCAUAGCUUAACUAUGAAACUGCCAUUGAUACUGCGGGUCUUGAGUAAGGUAGAGGUAGCUGGAAUAAGUAGUGUAGCGGUGAAAUGCAUAGAUAUUACUUAGACACACCAAUUGCGAAGGCAGGUUACCAUGUCUUAGCUGACGCUGAUGGACGAAAGCGUGGGGAGCGAAC
rnacentral:rRNA from 1 species